GACGAACGCUGGCGGCGUGCUUAACACAUGCAAGUCGAACGGAAAGGCCCUGCUUUUGUGGGGUGCUCGAGUGGCGAACGGGUGAGUAACACGUGAGUAACCUGCCCUUGACUUUGGGAUAACUUCAGGAAACUGGGGCUAAUACCGGAUAGGAGCUCCUGCUGCAUGGUGGGGGUUGGAAAGUUUCGGCGGUUGGGGAUGGACUCGCGGCUUAUCAGCUUGUUGGUGGGGUAGUGGCUUACCAAGGCUUUGACGGGUAGCCGGCCUGAGAGGGUGGCCGGCCACAUUGGGACUGAGAUACGGCCCAGACUCCUACGGGAGGCAGCAGUGGGGAAUAUUGCACAAUGGGCGGAAGCCUGAUGCAGCAACGCCGCGUGCGGGAUGACGGCCUUCGGGUUGUAAACCGCCUUCGCCUGUGACGAAGCGUGAGUGACGGUAAUGGGUAAAGAAGCACCGGCUAACUACGUG
rnacentral:rRNA from 1 species